GCAGUCGCCGCGGUAAUACAGAGGGUGCGAGCGUUAAUCGGAUUUACUGGGCGUAAAGCGUGCGUAGGCGGCUUUUUAAGUCGGAUGUGAAAUCCCUGAGCUUAACUUAGGAAUUGCAUUCGAUACUGGGAAGCUAGAGUAUGGGAGAGGAUGGUAGAAUUCCAGGUGUAGCGGUGAAAUGCGUAGAGAUCUGGAGGAAUACCGAUGGCGAAGGCAGCCAUCUGGCCUAAUACUGACGCUGAGGUACGAAAGCAUGGGGAGCAAACAGGAUUAGAUACCCCCGUAGUCCCUGUCUCUUAUA
rnacentral:rRNA from 1 species